CAGUAGCCGCGGUAAUACGGAGGAUCCGAGCGUUAUCCGGAUUUAUUGGGUUUAAAGGGUGCGUAGGUGGCCUGUUAAGUCAGGGGUGAAAGACGGUAGCUCAACUAUCGCAGUGCCCUUGAUACUGAUGGGCUUGAAUGAACUAGAGGCAGGCGGAAUGUGACAAGUAGCGGUGAAAUGCAUAGAUAUGUCACAGAACACCAAUUGCGUAGGCAGCUUACUAUGGUUUUAUUGACACUGAGGCACGAAAUCGUGGGGAUCAAACAGGAUUAGAUACCCCCGUAGUCCCUGUCUCUUAUAC
rnacentral:rRNA from 1 species